rnacentral:tRNA from 1 species
GCCCGGGUGAUGGAAUGGUAGACAUACGGGACUUAAAAUCCCGGGGCAAUUUGCCGUGCGGGUUCAAGUCCCGCUCCGGGUA